rnacentral:lncRNA from 1 species
AUCUAUAGCUAGUUAAUUAUGUUUUUUUAUAAAUAAAAAUAUUUUUUAAAAAAAAUUAUGAUGAAUGAAUAAACUCUUAGCUACCGUUUGGUUCGGGAUUAAGAAAAAAUUAGUUAUUUCAGGGAUAGAGUUAAAUUUAGGAUUAAGGUGGGGUUAGAGUAUUUUUAUGUUUGGUUAGGGGUUAGAGUUAGUUCAGGAUAGUGAAAAAUAAUGUUUGGUUGGAGUAGGUGGGAUAAGAAGGAUAGUGAGUUAUUAUGAAUAGAAAAUAGUGUUUGGUUGGGGUUUGGUGAAGUUAGGUGGGGUUAGCUAAUUCGGGAUAACCCAUUUGAAGUGGGGUUAGCUGGGGUUAGCUCGGGUUAGCUAAUCCGACCCAUUUUUAGAAGUGUUUGGAGAUAAAAUGGGGGUUAAGAGGUUAUUUCAUCCCCUAACCCCUAACCAAACGGAGGCUAGUUAUGUAUUUUGAUUGGAUGAAGACAUUAUUGAGUAAU